GUCCGGUUCUCCGCCCAGCCUAACCCUACGGGUGCCUGGUGGAGCCGAGCGCGGUGCGCCUGCGGACUGUCCCUGCAUCCCACGCGCAGUGGGCGUUACUAACGGACAGCGCCUGCCUCUGGGGCCUCAGAUACAGUGAUGCUUCGGGAACUGUGCACCCUCUCGCCCGUUACCGACUAAUCCCGUCCGACCCGGCCCUUGAUGAUGUUCAUGGAGGACCAGGAUAUGAAUAUAAGUAGCUGCCGCUGUGGCUCUAGCUAAGGACCGCGCGAAGCGUGUUGGAGGGUGUGUUUCCAGCUCACCUCGAAGUUUAAAAAAACAACAACAAAAAAACCAAAACAAAAAACUAUUCGCUGACUUGACGGUUAACCCUCACUUGACAGUAAGGGUAAAAUCGAUCUGAAGGAAAGAAUUGGUGCACGUUAAUUUGAACCAAAUCUCCUAGGAGCCAGGACUAAAGGAUCAGAGCUCACCAAAGGAAAUCACAACGGGGUACGAGUUCCCGAGAACCUGCUGUAAAUACGCCGGUGUAUUUAAUGCACUUGGGACCUGCAAGUUAGGUAACAUCCAGAGCUCCUUCCCAAAUGAAGGACCGUCGCACAGGUCUUCGUGGAUGACCUGAGACUACCAAAUCAACCAGCCUGGCUUUGGACUCAUGGGCAGGCAUACUGUCACAGCUUCCAGAGUGCUGGGAUUAUAGGCAUGUGCCACCAUGCACAGCUCUGUUUUUUUAUUUUUUUAUUUUGAGAUGGGGGUCUCACUUUGUAACCCAGCUGAGUUGCAGCAAUUCUCCUGUCCUGGCCUCCAGAGUGCUGAGUUUUCAGGUGUCUAUGGCCACACCCAACUUACUUUCUGUAUCUUAGGAUGUUUUGAUAUUUCCCAAAGCUUGAAGGCUUGGGGGAGGUGGAUGCUUUUCGGGUAGUCAUUGUUUGGGGCCACAAAGCGCUCUCGACCAGGGGCGCGGCCAUCCUGAACAAACCAAGCAAUCCUGAGUCUGUAUUCCCAACAACUUCUUAAUUGAAGUCUCAUACUCAAGCCAGCUUUUUCCUCCCCUAAUUGACCCAAUGCCAGAUAUCAGGCAACUGGCCACAACUCCUGUACCCAACCCCAUGGAACUAUUCCAAUUUGCCAAUGCUGAGCACCUUGCUGUACCCAGGUUUGCUUUUCCCUCAGAAAUGCCAGAAAAGAGACUUCCUCAGACUUCCCCCACAUUCUACUUCUUUGUUUUAAGAGCCCAGGUUACUCUGCAACUUUCCACGUAGCCUACUUACCUUGAACGCGUGACUCUCCUGCAUCAGGCUCCUGAGUGCUGAGACUGCAUGUGCACAUCUGCACAGUGAGCUUUCUCCCGCCAACCUGUGUCCUGCUGCUUCAUGCAGACUUGCUGCUUACCCCUGGCCCUGCCUAGCCACGGGGCACCGCCCUCUCUGGGUGGGAUCUGUGACUGUAGAACCAUCUUCCUUCCAAGUUCCCUUCUGGUCUCCUCCAGGGGCCGUAAGAUCUUUACCAUCCCACCUUCAACAUCUGCAUCCUUAAUAAGUACAGGUGUCUAGGAAAGGGGUUGUGAGGACAUAGGACAGAUGAUAAGCCAAAUGUCUUAACUCACCUUGAGAAAUAGAUGAAAGAAACUCGGAGACUAUUGGGAAUUCUCCUCUUUCAGUGGAGAUCCUCUUGGUAGGGGGCUGUCAACAGACUUGACCACAGGAGUCAGGUCCUGGGAUGAUGACUUGGUCACACUCUGUUGCACCAAUAAGCCUCCUAGAAACAAAGAGGAGGGGUUGUCAUUAAGAAAGGAUACUAGGAGCCAGAAGGAUGGCUCAGUGGGUAGCGUUCUAUCUCCAAAACUCACAUUUUAGAACAAGCUGUCCUCUGAUCUCCACAUGUGCACUGAGGCCUGCAUGCCCACACACAUAAAGGAAAUGAAUGUGAAAGAACAUUUAAAGGAGGGCAUUAGGACUGAGGAACAAGCACAGCUGGCGGAGCGCCGCCCUGGUAUGCGGGAAGCUUCUCCUGCCGAACCAUGUAAAGGGAGCUGGUAGCUCAGCCCUGUGUGCCUGCACACCCAAAGGUGGGGGUAGCUCCGUCAGGAGUUCUCUGGGGACAUAGUGAGUUCUUUGCUCUCUAUCUUGCAUGGCUCUCCAUUUCAUGGAGACCAUAAAAUGCCAUUAAAGGCUCUCCCUCAGAAUCUCUGCUCAUUCUCAUUCUUUUUAAUCUCUGCGUGUGUCUGGGGCAGGGGGGACAGGGCACACAUGACAUGGUACAUGUGUGCAGGGCCACAGAGCUUCCCUGGGCAUCAGAGCUGGCCUUCAAGCUUUUCUUGAGGCAGGGUCUUUUGCUCUCCUUUGCGUAUGCCAGGCUAGCUCCUCUCUGCCUGCCCUUUCACCACAGGAGAGCUGAGAACACUCACAGGCACUUCCCUGAUGGGAUUAGAGGCCCACAUCACCACAUGCUGCUUUUGGCCCUCAUUCUUAUCUUCUGCCACUUGGUCGAUUCUAGGACCUCCCCCUAGACCCUGUCUGCCAUGACUUAACCCCUCUCUGUGUAGGAUCUGUGACUGUAUAACCAUCCUCCUUCCAAGUCUGCUUCAGGUCCUCUCUUGGGAUUAUAAAGUCUUUACCACCUCCAGUGUGGAUCCAGUCCCUCUGCAUCCUUAGUCUACGCUGCAGGUAUCGGGAAAAAGGACUGGGUCGGGCACAGGACAGAUGGCAAACCAGGUAUCCAAUUCACCUCAAGAAAUAGAGGGAAGAGACUUAGCGCAUUUCUCUGAAUGGAGAUGCUAAUGGUGAAAGGUAACGAAGGGAAAUGACCUCUAAGGUCGGAGGUCCUCUGACAAGAAUGCCCUCAGUCAGCACUGGCAGCACAGCUCAGGCUCCUAAAGGCAAAGGUUCAGGAUUGUUCUUAGAAAAGACACGGGGGCUGGGCUGGGCCUGUAAUCCAGGCAGUAGAGUGCUUGCUUAACUAGCCUGAAGCUCUGGGUUGGAUUCCCCAGCACCAAAUGUAAAUAUGGCCACUUAUGCCUGUAAUCCCAGCUCUUGGGGAAGUGGAGGCAGGAGGAUCAGGCCAUCCUGUGCUACACUGCAGGGGUCGAGGCCAGCCAGCACCACCUGAGCCCCAGUCUCAGGAAAGUGUAUAGGAAAAGCCACAAAACAAAGGGGAUUGCAAAGGAGUGCGCAGCGGAUAGUGUCAACCCAGACCCUCUAACCACUGCUCCCGCUCCCCAAACCAGGGGAGCCCCCCUGCAGUCUCUCAAGGUCAGCUGCAGAGCUGCUGGGACCUGACAGCUCUUCCAGAGUUCUGUUCUCUCCACACCCCUACAGCUGCAAGCCCAGCCCCUCUGAUGAUGCCCAGACACCCUUGAAUUAAACGGACAAAAGCAACACCUUCUCCCACUGUUCUCUGGAACUGAACUGUGUCUCUUUCCCUUCAGGGUCCCCAUGGCGGUACUUAGUGGCUCUCUUGACUUACACACUCCCACCUCAGACCCCACAUGGCUGCUGCUGUCUGCGAGCUGGUAGCUCUCCCUAAUAAAGCUCUAUCAAGGGUGAAUCCCUCCAGCUUCUAUUUCCUGUGAUCCCAUCUUUAUCUGUUGUUUACAACAGGUAUCUGUUCUCUUAGGAGUUACUAGAGGAAAUUCACAGUUGUCUGAAAAAUGCCUAUAGAGCCAGCCAUGGGUGGCUGUGCCUGUCAGGUUAGCACUUAGGAGAUGGAGUCGGGAUCAUCAUCAAGACUUCAGGGUGACCCUCUGCAAGAGGCCAGCCUGGGCCACGAGUCCCCACUUCAAAAAAACUAACCUGCAAACUGUCAACAGAAAUGUUAUUUUGAGCAGGGGAAAUGGCAGUGACACAACCCUUUCACUGGCAAGUGGCUGCAGUCACAGCCCUGCUGUUUUUGACUCUUUAUAAUCACCGUGAAGGCACUCAGCAGCUGCAGAAGACCGCCAGAGCCACGGCUAAAGCCCAAGACGGCCUGCAUUGACCUGGGAAAUUGGCCCUCCUAAGUAGGAGGGGGCUGAGUAGACUCUCCAUGACCCUGCAGCCUUUCACCCUGGCCAGAAGGGAGUAAUUCAUCCUCACAGCCAGCCUGUGAUUGACGUAACCAUAAUCCUUAUGAGUGACGGACUGUGUCAUUGGUGUAAUACCUGUGUCAUAACUGUACCCUGGGUAAAUAAGCUAUGUAAGCUGAAAAAUGUUUUUAAAUUUUGAGGCAAGGUCGGGAUUCAAGCUGACAUGUAGCCAGGGUUCCUUUUUUUUUUUUUUUUUUUUUUUUAAGUGAUUUAUUUGAAUGUGCAUUGAUGUUUUGUCUGCAUGUAUGCCUGUGUGAGGGUGUCAGAUCCCCUGGAAUGGAGUCAUAGAUAGUUGUGAGCUGCCAUGAGGAUGCUGGGAAUUGAACCCAGGUCCUCUGGAAGGACAGCCAGUGCUCUUAACUGCUGAGCCAUCUCUCCAACCCCGCCUCCCCCUAAAUCCUUUUGUUUUGGUUUUAUCAAGACAGGGUUUCUCUGUGUAGCCUUUGCUGUCCUGACUCACUUUAUAGACCAUGCUGGCCUCAAACUCACAGCCUUUAUGAAUCUGCCUGCCUCUGCCUCUCAGACGUGGCCACCACUCCCUACUCGAUUCUCCUGCUUUAACCUCUAGACUGGGACUGUGGGGAAAAGCCCUCCUGAUUGCUUUGGUUGACUUGAAACAGUGUUUCCCUUUGCGUCUUAGUCUGCCCUGGAACUCACAGCAAUACUCUUACUUCCAGAGUGCUGAACUUAGACCUUGUGUAUUGUCAUCCUUGACCUAGUUCUGUAUCCUACAAUGUUUUUACAGCUUCCAAAGCUUUCAGUCUGAAUAGUGUCUCCUACUGCUCCUGGGGUCACAGAUUGUUGGGAGCAGAAACAGCUCUUUUCCUGGAGCUUGUCUUUGAACUACAAACCAAUCCAGAGUCUAAGGAAACAAUUUAUUUGUUGCAGACCCUAAAACAAUGGGGUCACAGCUUCAUGUACUCAUAGCCAGUAAAGCUCAGCCUGCACAGGGAUGAGGUAUAGAAAUGUUAAACACUAGCCUCCUAUCAAAUACUGUAAAACUGUGGCGUUUGUGACAAAGAAUUCAGUCUUUUUAUAUCCCCCACCUCGUAAGAUUUUUCUGCACAUAUUUUAAUCCCUCCCCAGCCUGUCAAAGCCUUUGUUAUAGAGAGUGACUUAAGGAGCCCUUCCUGGUUUCCUUCUCUUCAUUUGCUCUGAUGCUUUUUAACUAGCCAAUCAAAACCUCCCGUGAGGUCAGACCCCAGCCAAUGGAGAAAAGACACAGUCACCACCUACCUUAAAAUAAAAACCAAGUGUUCUUCCUA